ACGGCCGGAGGAGGGGCGCGCUCCUCGCGGGGCCGGGGACCCCAGUCCGGGACAGCGCAUCCCAGCCGGCCUGCGGCCCCGCAGCCGCGGUGAGGCGCCCCUAGGGCUCCCGGAGGCCCCGCAGGGAGGCCUGGGGAGAGUUGCACCGGAGUCCGCCGGGGGCCUGGGGACCUGGGGCUGCAGACUUGCAGACGCCUCUGGAGCAGGUGGAAGAGGCUCCCGCGGCCGGCGACAGGGCGGAGCGGUCCUUCCCGCCCGGUUCUGCGGCCGAACGAAGGAAACUCGGCUGCCCGGCGCCCCCGGCUUGGCUCCCAGGGUCCCAUGCAGUGCGAGGUCGCGCAGUCCGUGUGGCCGGGGUGGCGCAGGCGUCGGGUCCUGAGCGAACUCGCUGCGGGCUUCACUGCUAGGGAGGGGGCGCUGGCUUUUCUCGGGAGUUUGGAUGCUCGGUGCUUGACUCGAGAUUUUCCUCCUGGGGUUCAGGCCUCCCUGAGGUGCUGCUGGGCGGAGCGUUCCCAUUUGAAGGAUGUGUGGUGCGAACGAGUAUUUAUUGCGUAGUGACCUCUUCCGCUAUGCUGACUAUUAGGCUUAACAGUUCCUUCAGCCCAUCUGUUCAACUUUCCCACCAACAUUGCCUGUCAGAAGCCAGCUAUCCCUGGAGGGAGGCAAACCAGACCUUCCUGGAAGAGGGAAAGAGUGGAACUCAUCAACUCCUUAAGGGAAAUAUGACACCUGCCCAGGGACUGGCCAGUGACUGAACUUCCUUUCGAGCAGUUUCCACUUUAAUAUCAAAGGAUCCAUGAUAAUUUCAGUUGAAGGAUGACACAAGACUGAUUGGACAGUAAUAUUCAGUGAAAUUCACUUCAAGAUAAUAGAGCAUUUUAUAAUAUAAAAAUAAUUCUUUUAAUUAAAAAGAGUAUGCGAGAGGUCCAGGGUGUAUCCUUAAAGCAGUAUGAAAGUACGAAGGCGGAGCCACAUCUGGACGCGAUUCAACAAGCCACAGGGAUCCUAAGCCUCAUAGGGAGUUGGAUACACGAUUUUUUAAAGUUUUAAAUAAUGCAGCUGCUCUUGCU